rnacentral:rRNA from 1 species
UUUAACUGAAGAGUUUGAUCAUGGCUCAGAUUGAACGCUGGCGGCAGGCUUAACACAUGCAAGUCGAGCGGGGGAAGGUAGCUUGCUACUGGACCUAGCGGCGGACGGG